rnacentral:rRNA from 1 species
AACGGGGGGGGCAAGCGUUAUUCGGAAUUAUUGGGCGUAAAGGGCGCGUAGGCGGCUUUUCAAGUGACGGGUGAAAUCCCUCGGCUUAACCGAGGAACUGCCUGUCAGACUGGAAGGCUUGAGACCGGGAGAGGUGAGUGGAAUUCCCAGUGUAGCGGUGAAAUGCGUAGAUAUUGGGAGGAACACCAGUGGCGAAGGCGGCUCACUGGACCGGAACUGACGCUGAGGCGCGAAAGCGUGGGGAGCAAACAGG